GAAGGGACUUUUUGAGGUCACAUCUAGCACAACCCCCUGCCUGAAGCAGGAUCAGCCCUGUCCAAACCCUCCCAGACACAUCCAUCAUCUAAAUGCUGCAUAAAACUGCCAUCAACCCUAGCACAACACAAAAUAUCACACCCAAACCUGCCCCGGGGAAAGCAGGAGGACUGCGGCAGCCAACGUCCUGCUUCUGGUAAAGGUUGUUAAUAUACUCUCCAGAGAUCCCAGGUGGAGGCUAUGACCCUACUACAGA